GAAUGAGCGCCUCAGUGUUUUCACUGUCCUUUGGCGCGGUGUUGAAGUGCUUCUUGAUCUUUCCUGCUACUGAUAGCUGGUGAUCGUUCUCACCAAGACAUUCAUCCUGCAUCGAGCAAGGAAAACCGCCAUCAGAACCUGCAGGGCCGUGAACCUCUGGUCCACCUCUACCUCCAGCAUUGAUCGGAUCAGCACCUGAAACAAAGAUAAAAUUACGGCAGAGGAAAUUCUACCUGGCCUAUCAGAAUUUGGUCAAAGAGAACCUCCUGAUCUUCACAGCUCCUGCAAGCAAACGCACGGUGACAUCAGCUGCCAGCAGAGGAAGCGCUCCGCUGGCGAAAAGAAGCGACCUACCCUCGGAAAGGAGGGAAACCACACAGUAGGAUUCUGACGAAACCCUAAUUGGAGUGAUGGUUGAUGAGAUGAAGAGGCUGCUGAGGAAGCUGAUGUCCAAAUUUGUGCAAAUGGAUGUGAUCAGGAAAGCUGAGGAUAUCUAGAUGUUGAUUACAGGAACAAGGAGAACUGGCAUGACACAGGCAACAUAGCAGUAUCACAUGAUGCCAGACAAUACAUGGAGCAAGUUGAAGACUAUCUCUGAUGCCACCAAAAAGAGGUUCUUUGACAGUGUAGUUAAUUUUUACACAAGUGUUGUGACCAAAAUGAACUUGAAAAAAAAUGGUUGCAUUUUGUCUUAGCGAUUGUCGCGCGCGCGUCAUUGGGUUGGCAAACAGAAAUCUCCCUAUUUGCAAUUUCUACAACUUAACAGGUAUGAACUGCCCCUUUGUUUGAUAGUGUCAAAAAUGUUUUGACCACCACAUGUAGGAUAAUCUGCAAUUUCUGCAUAUUGCCUUGUUGACCAAAACAAACAUUGAACAAAGAGGGCAGCGAAACUUGGUUCGUGAGGGUGGCCCCUUCUUGGACCCUGUUUCAGAAAAAUCCUUGAACCACUACUGGAUAGACAUCUAUUUCAUUUGGACUUAGAGGCCUGGUAGCCAAAGAACGACUAAAUUAAAACUCUUUAAAUGAAAUCCCAGUUCAAUCCGUUUGAACUUAUUAACUCAUUUCAAUUCAUAGCAGAAGGAUGAAACGAGCCAUAAGACUGGAUGGCUGCCAUCGUCAAUGGCACAAUGGAU